UGGGGGAAGGCUUCAAUGCAAGACCAUACAAAUUAGAAAUUACAAUACAAACGCCUCGGACUCGCGGUCUUGAGUUUAACAGUUAAAUGCCUCAGAUAUUUCACUCCAAACAAUAAACUGAAAAACGCAAACAGUUUUAGUUCCUCUCAAGAGUUGCCAUUGGAAGACUUUGUUGUAACAAGGAAAGCAUGGGUUCGAUUGCAAAGAAGGGGUUGCAGCAGUACUUGCUUCAGCAUCAGCAUCAGCAUCAUCGUCUCAGAACUAAGUGGGGUUUUGUCAGCGAUCAGUGACAUAGUGUCUCGGAAGCUCACCGGGAUUCAGAAACGUCAGUUAAGAAGUCUGCUUCUCGAAGUGCUUUUUGGAGCUGUUUAUCUUGUACCAUUUGGGCAUUUCCUGCAUUUAUUACUUGAUAAGAUUUUCAAGGGGAAGAAGGAGUCAAAAACAGUAGCCAAGAAGGUAAGGCUACUCUACUUUCCUUCACGCUCUGGUUUUUGUUGAGAAAUCUAUCCUACACUCAUAUUAAUUAUAGCCAUCGUUAUUUAAGUGCCAUAACUUCUGAUCUCUUCCUCUUCUUAAACCAAAAAGGUUGUGCUCAUAAAGAAGAAUUCAUUGGUCGUUCUAAAAUUCCAAAUCAAAUUACUAUGUCUUGGUUGUGGAAGGCAAGUAUAUAAUAUGUCAAAACUUGUGAUCAAUUGUUUAUGUUUGACAUGUUGGCAUGUGAGAAAUGCAGUAGUUCCUAUCAGCCCUUAAAUUUGAUUAAGAUCUAAGCGUUGCACGAUUUGUAUAUCAGAUUAUAAUGUUAUUAGUCAAACAACUCUGAAAGUUUCAAAGAUAGUCAGCCUGAAAGAGGCAUGUUAGCAUGUGGACUUUGCUGCUUAUUGUGUGAAACACAGGAAGACCCUAGAUGCAUGUGAAGAAUAAAAUUAAGAAGUACUGCCCGUCAGUGCAAUACAUAUUGUGGACGGUAUAAUUCUGUCUCCAUUGUAUUUUUUUAUACCAACACAUUACCAGGAAACAUAACACAUUUUAAACCUUGAUGAAUGAAAAUGCAGUUCUGGCCUGUUCUGGGUUGGAUAAAUCACCAGUAUGUGCCACUCCAUCUCCGCGUCGUCUUCCACAGCUUGGUCGCUUUUGGCUGGGGAAUUUUCCUAAACUUACAAGCAAUAUAUGUGGCAUUACCAAAGGCUAAGUGAAGUAACAGAAAUCUUACGAUUGGACUCAGAUAAUUUGUGCUCCCUCCAAGUUACAUAAUAGUAGAUAUAAUAAGUCCUGGAUCCCUUUUUCAUGUGUGCUGGAUCUUGUGAACGGUAUUAUAAAUUUAAGCUAUCUUUAUUAUUUUUUUGGUAAGCAAGUAUGAAUUGACAUGCUGCACACUGGCAACCCUUCCAAAUUUAAGCUGUAAAUUGCUUACCCUGUUGUUGGUGUUGGAGACCACACUUGCAUUGCAAUGUGCAUGUGAAUGCGUCAGCUCAAAGCCUCAAAACAGAGAGCAGGGGUUAAUAUCACAUAAUAAGCCACAAAGCUUUUGCUUAUGUUGCAAAUAAGCCAUGAAGGACAACGACUCAUUCUCUAA